rnacentral:rRNA from 1 species
CCUACGGGAGGCAGCAGUGAGGAAUAUUGGUCAAUGGGCGCGAGCCUGAACCAGCCAUGCCGCGUGAGGGAAGACGGCCCUAUGAGUUGUAAACCGCUUUAGGAGGGGAGCAAUGCCAGACACGCGUGCCCGUAGGAAGAUUACCCGCAGAAAAAGCAUCGGCUAACUCCGGGCCAGCAGCCGCGGUAAUACGGAGGAUUCAAGCGUUAUCCGGAUUUAUUGGGUUUAAGGGGUGCGUAGGCGGUCGGAUAAGUUAGAGGUGAAAUCCCGAGGCUCAACUUCGGAAUUGCCUCUGAUACUGUUCGGCUAGAGAGUAGUUGCGGUAGGCGGAAUGUAUGGUGUAGCGGUGAAAUGCUUAGAGAUCAUACAGAACACCGAUUGCGAAGGCAGCUUACCAAGCUACUUCUGACGUUGAGGCACGAAAGCGUGGGGAGCAAACAGGAUUAGAUACCCCAGUAGUC